AUAUGAUAGAAAAGGUCAAUAGACUGCCAAUGACAACUGACUUUAUGUCCUGCUCAUAUAUAUAUUCAGCGAUUGAUUGGACUUUAUUAUGAAGCAGAAAAGGAAUAUAAAAGUGCAAUAGAAAGGAUUGAAUAUGAAGCAAGGAAAGAUCAUCUAAAUGUUAUAAAAAGUGACAAUUAAAAAUGUUAAUUAUUGGAAUUGAUACUUUUUUUAUGGGGGUGGGAAUCACUGUCCUGUCUAUCCCAGAUCCUUCCAAUUCAUUCUUUCUGAUUCCAUCCUGACCCUGCCCAUCCCAUUCCUGAUUGAUUGUCCUGAUAUGUUCAUACGCCCAUCCCAUUCCUGAUUGAUUGUCCUGAUAUGUUCAUACAAAUAAUAUAUAACAUACCUGAAUGAAAAUAUUAAUGUAGAACAUAGUUGCAUUAAAAGCAGAGAAAAGAUGUGAAUAGAUAAAUUUGAUAUGAAAUAUUUUUGUGUGAAAAUAUGUCAUAUUCAUGUAGUUGACACUUUUUGACACUUUCUAUAGUCACACUUUAUAAGAAGUGGUAAAAGUUUACUUCUGUAUAAUGUAUAUAUGAUGUUUAUAUAGUGUUUAGUGUUUAGAGUGAAGAAAGAACAUAAAAUGUUAAUAAUUGAAAUUGAAUGUGUAGGGGAUGGGAACAUUGUCCAGUCUAUUCCAGUUCCUUCCCAUUCAUGCCUAUCAUAGCCAACCUGACCUGGUCCACCCCAUUUCUGAUGGGUAACUGUGUAUGAUAGUACAAAUAAUAUAUGAUAUAGCAUAUUAGAAUUAAAAUAUUAAUGUUGAGCAUGGCCCAAAUAAAGGAAGAGAAAAUAUGUGUAUAAAUAGAAUAAUUAUGAAUAUGUUUUAUUCGUGCAAUUGACACUUACUAUGGUAACACUUUAUAAGAAGUGGUAAAAGUACACUUCUUUAUAAGUAGAUAUAUAUUUGAUAGAAAAGGUUAAAAACAUUUGUUUUUCGAGCUGUUCAUAAUAUUAUUAUGGAAACAGUCUUAAUAUUUACCUAAAGACAAAAAGAUAAAUGAUUAUUUAAUCUGGAACCAUAACUUGCAUGAGCAAAUGAAGGUUCAUGUACAGUUGUUGAAAGUUACAUUCUUGCUGUAUUUUGAGAAGUAUGGAAAAAGAAUUGUUUGAUAGGUAAAAUAGAUUUUGUGUUUCAGUCAUAUUUGCUGAAUUUGCUGACCAUUGUUGAAGCUGUGGAUUUUCCCUGGAAAAGAAUGAAGAAUGUUUUCAAGAAGAGACUGUAUUCAUAUGUAGUGUUUGAAGUGACGAAAGAAUAACAAAUGGGUACUUACUGGAAUUUAUAUUUUUUGUGGAGUUGGGAAUCUCUGUCCUGUCUAUUCCUGUUCUUCCUCAUUCUGUCUUGUCCCAUCCUGACCUGGCCCAUCCAUUCCUGAUUGAUAAUCUAGAAGUGUUUGUAAAAAGAACAUGUUGCAUAUUUGAAUGGAAUUGUAUAUUGAAGUAGUGUUAUAGAAUAUGGCUACAAAAUAAGCUGAAAAAAAGACAAUGUAUAUAAAAUAUUAAUACGAAAUAUGUUAGUGUGAAAAUGUGUUUUAUUUAUGCAGUUGAUACUUAGUUUAGUUUAUUAUUGUAUAAAAAUAAAGUGUGUUUCAGCAAAGUAUAAUUUAUAAGUCUGUACGAGUUUUGUCAAACAUAUUAUGGAUACAGUUAUACAGUAUUAUACAGGAUAUAAGAUAGGAUAAAUAUUAAACCUGGAAUGACAUUUGUAGCAAUAUGUAACGGAAAAACUUGGUCAAUUGGGUAUAAAGACAUUCUGGAUGUAACAACAUGACAAGUCUCUUACAUUAUACUGUUCCUAGAGACAGAAGACAAAAGAUGCUGGAAAUGUAAGUAGAGGCUACAAGACUGAUUUCCAAACCAAAUGAUAGGCACUGGUAUGUAUUGUUGUUUAUAAUGAUACUUGUAGUGUUGUUUAUAAAAGAAUUCAUUGAUAUGUUGACCUGUUCACCACAGGUAAAUGUCAACUUCUCCACUCAAAUUAGAGGUGGAGGAUGUUUGAUCUAGACUUUAGCUUAAGAGGAUUUAACUAAUGUAUUCCAUGUAACUUUUACCAUGAUUUUAGAUGCCUAAGUUCCAAAACAUUAACACUUAUUAGGAGAAACACCCAUGGAUGAAGAAUCAGAAGGCUUAAUCAACCGAUGGUGAAAAUUGUCACAUGCUGCAAGAAAAAUGACAGCUGGAAAGAUAUAAUCCCUCACACCACCAGCACCAACUCGGACAGAUGGUCUUUCAACAUAUAGUAGAUUCAGGGUGAUACAUCUUAGAGCAGAUAUAGGUGGUCAACUUAUACAAGAAUGUUGAGACAUGGAUAGUUGGUUUCCUGCAAAGAAGAAUGUAUAAUGUAACACCUGCAGCCAGAGAGUUCGGAGAAAGGGAUCAGCUCAGAGAACAUUGGAGGGGUCUGAUGACAAUAUUGGUAUAUGUUGUGAAGAAGAUGAUAAAGGAAAUUUGGCAGAGGUAAAGGAGACAAAUGAUGGUACGAAAAGACUCCAGCCAGUAACUCGACAAGUCGUGAGAUAUGUACACAGAAAGGGGGGUUUAUGGAGCUGCUGCAGAUUUACCCAGUCUUGCUUAAACCAGAACUUGUGAUCUACAACAUGGUUCUACAACUGCUAAUGAACUUCGGUAGAAGAGCUGGAGGGGAGUGGAGUGAGCAGAUUGCAGUACAGUCAAACCUGUCUAUAAAGACCACCCUUGGGAGAGCCAAAAUGUAGUCUUUAUUGGGAGGUGGUCAUUAUUCACAGGUUAAAAUAUUCUGUAAAUGUUAAAAUGGGAAACAAAACAUGUCUUCUUUAGAGGGAGGUGGUCUCUGUUCAGAGGUGGUCUUUAACACCGGUUUGACUGUAUACACAUCAGAGGGAGUGGAACAGGCAGAUUUCAAUACAUACUACAUCAGUGGGAAAAGCACAAUGAAGUUCAGCUGUUUCCAGCUUGAAACACAUGCCAAUGUGGACAGCCUAUGAGGUCCUCAUCAAGUUGCAGUAGAUUCAUUAAAAAAAGAAAUGGAGUAAGCUGUAUACUUAUUGUGUUCUGCUACCUGUAAAAAUAUGGGGAAUCUUCAGAAGCACAUAAUGACAUGGUCGACAUUAUGGAAGGUCAUGGAGUAUGCCCGUGGCCAGACAAAUCUUCAUCUCUUAGAGGUUGAAGUUGCAAGGAGAGACUGAUGGAAAAUGACAGUGACUGGACAGACAACGAUGAUGGUGAAGAAGUAUAGAAAACUUGGGAAAACUUUUAAUAGUGGUCAUCAACAUGCAGUCAUUGAUUCCAGUAUUCCAGCCAAUGUAUCCCUCUUCACACAAGAAGCAAUAUUAUACCAGGAAACAUGCGACAUUCAUCAGCCAGGUAGUCAUUUAUCCCAAGUGGCAAAGUAAGAUACAGCCGGACACCAAAAUACCCAUUCUUGGAAAAGGAGUGGAUUGUUUUGUGCUGUGGACACUGCAGAAUCGUGGAUUUGACAGUUUUACUUUUCAAUAUGGGAAAAUGCCACAUGUCACACAAAGCCGCAUAUCACAACAAAUCUCUGUAGCACAGAUAUCUAUGUCACACCUAAAAAGGAAAUUUCACCAGAGGCACAAAGGAUCGCAUGGAAUAUUCAGACACGAUGACCAUAAAAAGCACAAUAGUCCAACACAUCUGUACCUGGAAUUAAGUUGACUGUAGAGAAAUUGUGUACUUGGCUUAAAAAGAUCCUAAAGUGAUUUUGGUAGCCCGUUAUGGAAGACAAUUUUAUUUUUCAGUUCUUGUCUUAGCUCUGCUGUGCACAAAAAUAACUAGGACAUUAUUCAGCUGAGUUUCUUCUAAAGAGUAUUCUUUUAAGUGUUCAAGAAACUGUACAGUAAACAGUCAUACCUGCUAUGACACUACUUGGUAUCCAGCACAAUGCCUAUAACUGACAGACAGACAAAUUUGUUAUGAAAAACUGGGAAGGCCUGCCAAGGAUUUUCAUUUGUUAAAGAGAAAUUUCAAGCAAAGACAUAAUUAUACUCAUGAUAAAUUUGGUACCAUAAUGUUCAUUAUCUAAUUUAAAGUAGAAAAUAACAAUUGUAAUUGGAAAUUCGAAUUGUGUUAUUUAACUCUGUUUAAGAAAAUUAAUACAAUGUAUAGUCAAACUUGUAAAUUUUAUCAUUUGUUAAAAUCUUAUAUUAUAGCUUCAAGCCUUAAUACCUUGUUUUUACAAUCUGCCUAAAGAAACACUUCAUUAAUUUUGUUCUUGUUUAUUAUUUAGCCAUUUCCUUGAUUAAAAAUACACAACAAACUUCUGGCUCAAGACUUUCCAAGGUUGACAAGUUAUUACUUUCUUUGAUUUUGCUUAAGUUUGUUAAUUAUUGUUAAAUACUUUUGUUCAAAAUUUAAUAAGGUGUAAAACCUUUUAAUAAUAUCCUUAAGCAACAGAUGUUAUCUUUUAAUAGUAAAGUAAGGAGAAGACAACCUUUACUGUAAGCUAAUAUAGCUUGCUUUCUAUCCAAUGCCUGAAAUGUUUUUUUUUUGUAAAUAUUUCUUGACUUUCUGAAUGAAAAUGUUUAAUUUGAAAUUAUAAGUGAAGUAUAUAAACCCAAACUUUAAAGGAGCUAGAAGACAAAUUUCUUUUCAGCUUGUGUAUAAAAUUAACUUUGUGAUAUUUUUCUUAAGUGAUAAGUUUCUCAGUGAUAACUAGACAUUUAGUUUUAUAUCUGUGUAGAUUUUUGUACAGUUAAUUCAGACAAUAUUUAUAAAGAUUUUUUAUGUUUUAAGCUACCUAAUUAUUUAUAUUAGAGAAAACUGUUAAAUUUUAAUUACUUUAUAAUGUACAUGUAAAUCCUAUUUCACUAUACCGUACUUACAUAUUAUUGAAAGCUAAGGGAUUCCAUUGGAAAUAAGUGAAAUUGUUAACUUUCAUGGUUUAUCCCCGGCAGAAAUAUCAUUUUUUUCCUGAUGUUUAUGUAUUAGCUUGAUUACACUUGUAAAGUACAAAAAUAUAAGGGUUUACUGCUUAUUUAUUAAUUCUAAUAUUUUUGAUUUCUGUACCAGUUUGUAUUUCUGUUAUAAUUGGAUCUUAUGCCUGAAUAAAAUUGAAUUGAAUUGAACUGAAUUGGAUUUUAAACUGAAACUGAACUGAACUGAAUUUUAAACUGGAACUGAACUGAACUGAAUUUGAAACAGAAACUGAACUGAACUGAAUAUAGCUGGGUAAAAAAAUACAGUACAGCUUGCAUAAAGAGACCACCAAAGGGAAGGAAACAUUUUCUGUUUAUGCAGUAUAGUUUGUUCUUUGAUAACAUAAAAAAGGAACUGAAAAAGUGGUCUUUUAAUGCAAGUAGUUUCUAAAUCAAAUGUACUUGAUGAAACUUAUUAUGCUUUUGUGCUGCAAAUUUUGUAAUGUAGUUUUGUUGUGUCUAUGAUAAUUUCUCUUAAUAAACUUUAAACAUUA
rnacentral:lncRNA from 1 species